GAACGACUGCAGACUUCAGGGUCAAUGGAAUUGUUACUCCCGGGAACAAUGCUUAUUCACCUCUGAAAUGCUAGUACACUCUCAGGCCUGGUGUUCAGAAGGUGCUGCUGUAGCGAAGCUGAUUCCCAAUGCACUCAAUGAAAGAUUUAUUCUGUGUAGAGUUUCCAUAGCUGAUGCAUUAUACUGGCUACUCUCCAAGUUUAUUUUAUUUUUUUUAUUUUUUGGUCUUUUUAUGAGACAGGGUCUCGCUAUGCAGUCAGGCUGGCCUUGAGCUCACUUUGUAGCCCAGGCUGGUCUCAAACACACAACAAUCCUCCAGCCUCAGCCUCCUGAGUGCUGGGAUUACAGACAUCGCCACCACACCGACGACUCUCCACGUUUAAAGUCUCCAUUUCUGACCACCAAUCACUUUCUCCCUUUGGAUGUCACAUGACUAGAACAGGACAGGUAAUGUCUCCUUCAAAGAUGUUUUCUGCCAUGUAAAACAUCUAUCUACCUAGUUCUCACCUACCUAGUUUCCUGAGUAGGUACCCCACCCUGGCCUUACGCCUAAUGUCCAGCCUUCUUUGUACCACAUUCUAGAUCACUCAUCAAAUCCUGUUUUUCUGUUUCCUCACUGCCUCUGGAAUCUGCCUGCUUCCCGGCUCCAUGAGCACCUCCCUGGACCACACCAACAUCAUUUCUGGCAUCAGUCUCCUGGGGUCCUCCUGCUUUCCCUCCCUGUUAAUCCGUCCUCCCUGGAUUAGUCAGAACGACAUCUGGUCAACCUCACCUCAAGUCCUCCGUGCCUCUUCAGGAAUCGAACUCACGACCUUGUGCUUGCCAGGCAAGCACUUUACCGCUGAGCUAAAUCCCCAGGCCCAGAUCCUCUCCCAAGUGAAAGCAGCCCCAGAGGUGAACCAUCCAGCGGCCAGGAAGCUGGCAGUUCUGGUGACACUGGGCAGGUGAGAUGAUAAGGUUUGCCAGUCCAGAAGUGCCAAAGACUAGAGUU
ensembl:lincRNA